UGGAACUUUACAUGUGCAGAAUAAUUCUAUUUUCUGUCAAAUUUUUAAACUAAUUAGCUGAAAUAAUGAGAAUAUGCUUUAAGAAAUGUUGCAACUAAUUUAAAUUUGUUUUCUAAACCGCCUUCAUCUUCCUUUAGCACAGAGCAAAUGUUAAGGAUUAUGCUAACGGUUUCCUGCAGAAAAUGGGUGAACCAAAAACAUUGUCUGGUCUCAUCUUAUUGUUUUGUUAGCUAUGUAACAGGCUCUAUCAGGCCCUGAGCAAAUUAUUCAUUCAUUCAUUUUUAUUCACCUGCAAAUUGAAAAUAAACUGUUGAUAUGUACUCUGCUGCAGGCACCGUGCCAGUGACUAUGGGUACAAAGACGGAUAAAGCAUGAAUUUGCCUGGACAUAACUCACAGCUUACCAGAGCAGGAAAACCUUGGUACCAUCGGAAAGCAGUGCUGAUUCAGACCCCAAGUGAGCAUUCUUGGAUUUCAUGCAAGAAAUAAUUCAGGAUCAGAAACAAGUCUCACGAUUCUGGAGACAAGAAAGUCCACAAUCAAGGUGCUGGCAGAUCCGGUGACAGGUGCCAAAACACUCUAUUACAUGCUCCAGGUUCGUAAAACUUUGAAUCUAUAGCUUGAUAUCUUUCAUCCUUCUAAAAACAUUCUCACCCAUUAUCUCUUCAAAUACUGAUUCUGCUUUGUUCCCUUCUAUUCUCUUUCCUCUAUUCUCUUUUUCUCUUCUCUUUUCCUCUCCCCUCUUCUUCCCUCCUUUCUUUUCUUUUCUCUUCCUCUCCUCCUCCUUGCCCUUUUUCUUCUUGUCUUUCACAUCUGAGGUCAUACUCUAGAACUCCAAUCACAUGUAUGGUAGAAUUCUAAAAUAUUAUAUACCCUAGGCAUCUUAUAAUCUUUACUGUGUUUUGUUUUACCAUUUUAUCUCUUAAUGCUUCAUUCCUCAUAUUUUCUAAUAACCUAUCUUCCAGUUCCUUCUUCACGUGCAUCUAACAACUGUUAAACC
rnacentral:lncRNA from 10 species